rnacentral:hammerhead_ribozyme from 1 species
AUUCAACUGACGAGUCCCAAAUAGGACGAAACGCGUGUCCUGGAU